UACGGGGGGGGCAAGCGUUGUUCGGAAUUACUGGGCGUAAAGGGCUCGUAGGCGGCCAACUAAGUCAUACGUGAAAUCCCUCGGCUUAACCGGGGAACUGCGUCUGAUACUGGAUGGCUUGAAUCCGGGAGAGGGAUGUGGAAUUCCAGGUGUAGCGGUGAAAUGCGUAGAUAUCUGGAGGAACACCGGUGGCGAAGGCGGCAUCCUGGACCGGUAUUGACGCUGAGGCGCGAAAGCCAGGGGAGCAAACGGG
rnacentral:rRNA from 1 species